UUUGAUCCUGGCUCAGGACGAACGCUGGCGGCGUGCCUAACACAUGCAAGUCGUACGGACUGUUGACCUUCGGGACAACAGUUAGUGGCGAACGGGUGAGUAACGCGUGGGUAACCUGCCCUUAUAUCGCGGAUAACUUGCCGAAAGGUGAGCUAAUACCGGAUAACCUAUCGAGAUUGCAUAAUUUUGAUAGCAAAGGCGGCCUCUAUUUAUAAGCUGCCGUAUAAGGAUGGACCCGCGUCUGACUAGCUAGUUGGUGAGGUAACGGCUCACCAAGGCGACGAUCAGUAGCCGGCCUGAGAGGGUGAACGGCCACACUGGGACUGAGACACGGCCCAGACUCCUACGGGAGGCAGCAGUGGGGAAUCUUCCGCAAUGGACGAAAGUCUGACGGAGCAACGCCGCGUGAGUGAAGAAGGUCUUCGGAUUGUAAAACUCUGUUUUUUGGGAAGAACGGUCUCUAUGUGAAUAAUGUAGAGAAUUGACGGUACUNAAAGGAGGAAGCCCCGGCUAACUUAACGUGCCAGCAGCCGCGGUAAUACGUAGGGGGCAAGCGUUGUCCGGAAUUAUUGGGCGUAAAGAGCGCGCAGGCGGUUUGUUAAGUCUACCGUGAAAGCUUACGGCUCAACCGUAACAGGCCGGUGGAUACUGACAGACUUGAGGGCAGGAGAGGAAAGUGGAAUUCCCAGUGUAGCGGUGAAAUGCGUAGAGAUUGGGAGGAACACCAGUGGCGAAGGCGACUUUCUGGACUGUUACUGACGCUGAGGCGCGAAAGCUGGGGGAGUGAACGGGAUUAGAUACCCCGGUAAUCCCAGCCGUAAACGAUGGGUACUAGGUGUAGGAGGUAUCGACCCCUUCUGUGCCGGAGUUAACGCAAUAAGUACCCCGCCUGGGGAGUACGGUCGCAAGACUGAAACUCAAAGGAAUUGACGGGGGCCCGCACAAGCGGUGGAGCAUGUGGUUUAAUUCGACGCAACGCGAAGAACCUUACCAGGGCUUGACAUCGUACGAAAGGCUUAGAGAUAAGUUCCCCUCUUCGGAGGCGUAUAGACAGGUGGAGCAUG
rnacentral:rRNA from 1 species